GACGAACGCUGGCGGCGUGCUUAACACAUGCAAGUCGAACGAAGAGCGACGGAAGCUUGCUUCUAUCAAUCUUAGUGGCGCACGGGUGAGUAACGCGUAAUCAACCUGCCCUUCAGAGGGGGACAACAGUUGGAAACGACUGCUAAUACCGCAUACGAUCUAAUCUCGGCAUCGAGGAUGGAUGAAAGGUGGCCUCUACAUGUAAGCUAUCACUGAAGGAGGGGAUUGCGUCUGAUUAGCUAGUUGGAGGGGUAACGGCCCACCAAGGCGAUGAUCAGUAGCCGGUCUGAGAGGAUGAACGGCCACAUUGGGACUGAGACACGGCCCAGACUCCUACGGGAGGCAGCAGUGGGGAAUCUUCCGCAAUGGACGAAAGUCUGACGGAGCAACGCCGCGUGAGGGAUGACGGCCUUCGGGUUGGAAAGCUCUGUUAAUCGGGACGAAAGGCCUUCUUGCGAAUAGUGAGAAGGAUUGACGGUACCGGAAUAGAAAGCCACGGCUAACUACGUG
rnacentral:rRNA from 1 species